rnacentral:rRNA from 1 species
UUGACCUCGGAUCAGGUAGGGAUACCCGCUGAACUUAAGCAUAUCAAUAAGCGGAGGAAAAGAAACCAACCGGGAUUGCCUCAGUAACGGCGAGUGAAGCGGCAAGAGCUCAAAUUUGAAAGCUGGCCCCUCCGGGGUCCGCGUUGUAAUUUGCAGAGGAUGCUUUGGGUGCGGCCCCCGUCUAAGUGCCCUGGAACGGGCCGUCAGAGAGGGUGAGAAUCCCGUCUUGGGCGGGGUGUCCGUGCCCGUGUAAAGCUCCUUCGACGAGUCGAGUUGUUUGGGAAUGCAGCUCUAAAUGGGUGGUAAAUUUCAUCUAAAGCUAAAUACUGGCCGGAGACCGAUAGCGCACAAGUAGAGUGAUCGAAAGAUGAAAAGCACUUUGAAAAGAGAGUUAAACAGCACGUGAAAUUGUUGAAAGGGAAGCGCUUGCGACCAGACUCGCCCUCGGGGUUCAGCCGGCACUCGUGCCGGUGUACUUCCCCGGGGGCGGGCCAGCGUCAGCUUGGGCGGCCGGUCAAAGGCCUCCGGAAUGUAGUGCCCCCCGGGGCACCUUAUAGCCGGAGGUGCAAUGCGGCCAGCCUGGGCUGAGGAACGCGCUUCGGCACGGACGCUGGCAUAAUGGUCGCAA